GUGUAUUGAUGAUAAUGACAAUAUUGUAAACAAAAGAGGAAAAUGAGGAUGAUUGAAUAAAAAAACAUUUUCAAAAAUGUAAUAAUAUGAACUUAUGAGGUGAAUAUGACAAAUGAAUUUUUUUUUUUAAAUUAUGGAUUAGUUUUGCAUUUGACUUUUUAUUUUGAGUCAUUUUUGCGAAACCUCCUUUAAAAAUUGAUAGUUUGUAUAACGUGGUGUUUAUUUUUUUAUUUUAAAUCGUAUUUAAAAUUGCAAAAACAUAUUAUUUGACCUUUUAAUAAGCUAUCAAAAUAAUAUAAAGAAGUUUAAAAAUAUAUAUAAUAUAUAAUUUAAAUAAUAGAUGUAAACCUUUGGUAUUUUUUUAACUAUGGUUAGUGAUUUUUGUUACGAAAGAAAUUUUUUUUUUUUGAUAUAUGGAACCUAUAAUAAUUUAGCUGAAAGUCGUUUGAGAUAUCUUGUUUUAGGAUUGAUUGUAAAUUUUGUCGAUAUGUUUUUCUUUAGAAAAGAUUUAGUCGACAUAUAAUGUGUACAUUAAUAAGGUUAAACGUCAUAUACGUAUAACUAUAUAAUAAUCGAAUUAGAAUGAUAUGUUAUUUAACUCGGUUUGCAUUGAUUUUAUUUUUAUUUUUAAUAAUUUAAAGGUUAAACAGAGUAAUACAUCUUUU
rnacentral:lncRNA from 1 species